CCGCAGCGACUGCGGAUGACAUUA
rnacentral:rRNA from 1 species